CAAUAGCGUAUAUUAAAGUUGUUGCAGUUAAAAAGCUCGUAGUUGGAUUUCUGGUGGGAGCGAUCGGUCUGGCGCUUAGCGCGAGUACUUGCAUCGUCUCCGGCCAUCCUUGGGGAGAGUCUGUCUGGCAUUAAGUUGUCGGGCAGAGGAUCCUCAUCGUUUACUGUGAAAAAAUUAGAGUGUUCAAAGCAGGCUUAUGCCGUUGAAUAUAUUAGCAUGGAAUAAUAAGAUAGGACUUUGGUACUAUUUUGUUGGUUUGCGCACCAAAGUAAUGAUUAAUAGGGACAGUUGGGGGUAUUCGUAUUCCGUUGUCAGAGGUAAAAUUCUUGGAUUUACGGAAGACGAACUACUGCGAAAGCAUUUACCAAGGAUGUUUUCAUUAA
rnacentral:rRNA from 1 species